CUCCAUUUUUUCGAGGGGUCAAUUUCGAAAUGAAAUCCGUUACGGUACGUAAAAUUGCCGUGACGUCACGGCCGCCAUCAUGGACCAGGGACCUUGAUCGGCUCCGCUGUCUCCUCGAUACAAAUGUAGAGGGACGAAAUAGGGAAGCAGGAAGACCACCACCACCACCACCACCAUCACCACCAGCAGUGUGGAAGAAAGUUUAGGCAAGCGAAGAAAGUUGGAAAAUUAAUAAUUAAACGCUUGCUGUCUUUUAUUAUCUUGAGUAUAAAAUGGUUAUAUGACAAUCUCUCUCUCUCUCUCUCUCUCUCUCUCUCUCUCUCUCUCUCUCUCUCUCUCUCUCUCUCUCUCUCUCUCUCUCUCUCUCUCUCUCUCUCUCUCUCUCUCUCUCUCUCAGCUUUGUAUUAGUUACCCGUUGACAGAAGUGACAGCCGCGUUUUCUCUUGUCAGAUGUAAACAAAGCGGUAGUUUCCUUCCAGCUGGUGAUAAAACUCUUUCUCGCUCUUCCUCACUCUCCCACGUCACGGAAGCAGUGUGUGUGUGUGUGUGUGUGUGUGUGAAGAAGAAAAUGUUAUAUUAUAUCUACGUGUUUAAAAGUUUCCUUCAUUUAAGUCCAAAGAGGCUGGCUGGCUGAUGCUAAGGAAGGAAGAAAGGGGUGGUGUUUAGGGGUCUGGGAUGGAAAGCGAGUGAUGUGUUUUGUAGCCUUCAGAUAAAAAAUAUUAACAAAGUUUACACAGUGGGAAAAUUUUGGUGGUGAGAGAGAAAAUGACUAAAAUAUUACCUCAAAUUUAACCAAACGUGGUGGAGCUUCACACUCCUCAGCUGACCCUAAUCAAACCAAGCCUAACCCAAAGAAGCCUACCCUAACUUGUGUCUGGUGCUUCCUCCUCCCCAAGACUGGCUAUCUCGUGUCUUAAUCCCAAGCUGGCCUAACCAAACUUUACCUAACCUAACCUAAGCAAUUCUAACCUAGCCAAACCUUACCUAAGCAAGCCUAACCUAGCCAAGCCUUACCUAACCUAACCUAACCUAACCUAACCUAACCUAGCCAAACCUUACCUAAGCAAGCCUAACCUAGCCAAGCCUUACCUAACCUAACCUAACCUAACCUAGCCAAACCUUACCUAAGCAAGCCUAACCUAGCCAAGCCUUACCUAACCUAACCUAACCUAACCUCACCUCACCUAACCUAACCUAAAGAAACCUAGCCAAACCUAACAUAACCUAGCCUAACCAAACCUAACCUAACCUACAUCCUCUUCCCACGGCCCCACUUAACCAAACCUAAUGUAACUUUCAGAGCAACGGCAACCCUCCGAUCCGGCAAGCAAGUUGGCGGCAGCGAUGGCGGUGGCGGCGGCAGUGGUGGUGAGGUGGACGGCAGGGACAGAGGGGCAGUACAGGCUGCGGACAUCAAGGAGAAGAGGAACGCACGGACAAGCAAGGUGUUAUUCGGCAGUCUGAUCCUGGACCUGCUCGGCUUGAAGGUGGUGCUGCCCGUGUCUCCUGCUCUCCUCGACUGUUACUCCAAGCACAACACCAGCGGCUUGUAUUCCUCUCAGCUCUCCUGUGUGACUUAUUACCAGCAUAUCAUCGGUUUCGCUGCGAGGUUCCAUUCUGUCUUGUUUGGUAAUUAAGUGGGUUUGUUGUGUUUUGUAUUGGUUUAUAUAUUUUUAGCUUGUUUUUAUUAUUAUUUUUUCAAUUUUUUUAUCCUAUUAUCUAUUUAUUUAUUUUUUGUUUGUUUGUUUGUUUACAGGGUGUGUGUGUGUUUGUUUGUGUUCCUGCUGUUCAAUAUUGCAGCUUGUUUUCUUUAUUAUUGUUAUUUUGUGUUUUAUUCUAUUUCAGUGUUCUGAGGGAGUCUUCAGGUGUUUUUGGGGUGUUUUGGGGUGUUUCUGGAGUGUUUUGGGGUGUUUUUGGUGUGUUGUGAAGUGUUUUGAUGUGUUUUGGGGUGGUUAAGGGGUGUUUUGAAGUGUUUUGUGGUGUUGUGGAGGUGUUUUGGGAUUUUUGGUGUGUUUUAAAGUGUUUUGGGAUGUUUUUGGAAUGUUUUGAUGUGUUUUGAGAUGUUUAGGAGUAUUUUUGGAGUAUUUUGGUGUGUUUUUGGAGUGUUUUGGGAUGUGUUUGUAGUGUUUUGGGGUGUUUUGGGGUAUUUUGAAGGUGUUUUGGUGUGUUUUUGGAGUGUUUUGGGGUAUUUUGGGAUGUUUUGGUGUGUUUUGGGUUAUUUUGAGAGUGUUUUGGUGUGUUUUUGGAGUGUUUCUGGGUGUUUUGGAGUAUUUUGAGGGUGUUUAAAGGUGUUGUGGUAGUUUAAAAUAUAUUGUUAGUUUACUUUUUUUUAACUUUUUAUUUUCUUAUGCAUUAUUUUAUUUCUUAUUUAUAUUGUGGUGUGUUGUCGGUGUGUCCUAACCUAACCUAACCAGCCUACCCUCUCCUAACCUCCCCUCAACCCACAGGCACUGAUUGGCGUGACAUUCAGCAUAGGCUUCACCGUCGGGCACACUGUGGGGGCUGCGUUCUCCCGCUGGGGAAGUACUGGGUGGUUCGCGGCCUCGGCUGUCUACGCACGCACUCUCACUGUGGCUAACAUAAUAUUCUUUGCUGUCUUCUUCCAGGAAUCGCUGCCUGAGGGCAGAAGGAGGAGGGACAUCGGUGCCAGUUUGACCGAGGCUUGGGAGGUGAUCAAUCCUAGGGCUCUAUUCUCCGUCAGCUGUGUCAAGGGCCUGGGCAGAGAAGCCUGGAGUUAACGCUGAUCUUCGCGACCCACCACAAGCAUAGUUACGACUCGUUGGCGCAGGACCGCAAGUUUUCCUUCCUGGGCCUGGUCAUGGCAAUUACACAGAGAGGGUUUAUGCGAAGUGUUAAGACUGGAACUGAAAAAGCAACUGCCAAUUAGGCACACACCUACAUUGUGAUGCAGCUCCUUGGAGGUGGAGAGCUGGCUGCCUCAGAGGAUCAGGAAACACGAGAGGUUCACAGAGGCUCGCCUCGGGCUUCGGUCGUCGUGAGGAACCUGGUGUCAGCAGUUCACUACGUGCACAGGAAAAGCAUCAGUGUUCACGGAGACCUAAAGCCAGACAGGGGUGAAAAGGGUUGGUGUUGAGGAUAGACAGAAAAGAAAAGAAAAGAAAGGAAAGGUAAAAAAAGGAAGUUUUUUUGCAUUGAUUUUCCAUCUGCUUAUUUUAAAGAAUUUAUUGCAUGGAAUAUUAUUGAUCUCCAUCAUUUGUAUGGCCUUUAUAAUAAAAAGUAUGAAUUUAU